rfam:Salmo salar isolate Sally breed double haploid chromosome ssa07, whole genome shotgun sequence.
GCUGCGAUGGCCGAGUGGUUAAGGCGUUGGACUUGAAAUCCAAUGGGAUCUUCCCGCGCAGGUUCGAACCCUGCUCGCAGCG